UCUUACGGAUGAGCAAAAAAAAGUGUUUCUUGAGAUGAAAUCAUCUCCUGGUGAAGAUGCUGUGAA
rnacentral:pre_miRNA from 1 species